rnacentral:lncRNA from 1 species
AUGGACCAUUUGCAUUAUGCCUAGUGGAGAUGGAUAUGAUCGGGUGGUUCCGCUGGUGGCACGAUGAUACUCCAGUGGUCCGUCAGUGAUCCAAAUUUGCCGUUAAAAAAAAAAAUUGGAAUCAAUCUCUUCUAUUCUUUUGAGAAUAUAACAUAAAAGCCAAUAAAAGAAAGUGAAAUCUAUUGAUACGAAUAUGAAAAAGAAGAGAAUAAAUCCAUGCUUACAAACAUUACAAAAAUCCAGAAAUAAAUAACACACACCUCUCCAAACUAAUUAUCAAGAAUAACAAUAAAUUUAACAAUAUAAAUUUAGUAAAAUAAAGCUAAAGCAAAUCCCAACAAAGUUGCCGGAACCACACCGGUUAAAGAUCGGCCGGCGGCGCUUGGUGAUGGUGGAGUAGGUGUCGUGUCAGCAGUGGGAGAUGGAGUGGUGCCGGAAGGCGAUGGGCCGGAUGUGGUAGGUGACGGCGGGCUUGCUCCAGUUGGAGUAGGUGCCUCGGAGGAAGUGGGUGGUGUGGCUGGGGCGGGGGCGGGGGUGUUUGCCGGAGGGCUCACCGGUGCCGGUGUGGGGGUUGGGGUAGGGGUGGGGGUGGGGGUAGCUGCCGGAGGGGUGGUUGGUGAAGCUGCUGGUGGUGGGGUGGUGGGUGCGGCGGCUGGUGGAGGGGUGGUGGGUGCGGCGGCAGGGGCGGUGGCGGUGACCGUCAACUUUUGUCCAAUUUGGCAAUGUGUACCCACGGUGCAAAUGUAGUAAUGGGUGCCGGCAGUGGUCAAUGUGACGGUGGCGGGGCCGUUGGUGGUGAGUGAGAUGGGGUUAGCGGUGGUGCAUGGGCCGUACGCAGCUUGUGAUACUUCCGCCACGUUAUGGUUACCGGUGGUGAAGUUGAAAACUGUAUAAAAGUGUUUUAAAGUAUGUUAGUUUGUCGUUAAAAAAUUAAAACUAUAAUCGAUAAAAAAAAAAUUAUUUAAUUAAGCAUCAACAAUUAUAUGGUCAAACUAAGCACCCUAUUCAAUUAAAUUAAAUCAAUAAACCACAUGAUAUUGAAAAAGCAACACUAUUAUUAAUAUUCAUAAUUUUCUCAAUCAAACAACUGAGUAGGUUUGUUUGCAUGUGACACGUGCUUAUCGAAUUCAAUACCUUUAUGUCAUAAAUUACAAAUUAUAAAACUUAUAUCCUAAAGUUAAAGGCACUUUUAUUAAUGGCACUAUCAAACUUUAUUUUAAAUCUACGAGUUGAUGGUUAAUUAUAUUAAAAUGGAAUUAAAAUAUUCUCUUAAUUCUUUUUAGCAUCUUAAAUCUUAGAUAAAAAUAGCUAAAUAAUUUUAAUAACUAAUAAUCUAACCAUCAUCAUGAAAAAAUAUAUAAUAUCAACCAGUUAGGGGCUAUUUGACAACUUUUAGAUGAGUAAAUGUUGAACCAGCAAGAGGUUCGAAUCAUUUAGUGCUGAAACAAGGCCUGAACCAUUAAGCACCAGUAUAAUACUUAAUCGUUUAAAGACAAAUGUCUGAC